rnacentral:lncRNA from 1 species
AAUAUUAGAUUUAGAAAAGAAAUCUCAUGUUUUGUUUUGUCAUAAGAGCAUCUAUGACCCUGUUCACCCUUAGAUAAAAAGAAUAUAAGAAAAAGAGAAACAUGAAUUGAGUGUCAGAAAAUAAAUACUUCCAUUGAAAACUGAACUAGCCUGCACAUGUGAAAAGACAGUCUGUGGUGACAUAUAAUAACAGAAAAAUAAAAAAAUAAACACCACGACAAAUCUCUUUCCAGAUCCAGAUGCAUUUUACUAUCCUUUUAAAACCCAAAUUAUGUUUUUAUCCCUAAAAUUCCUUUUCAGUGUUUUUUUUUUUUUUAUUAUUAUUAUUUUUUUUAUUAAAGGUACAGGUUGAAUUUUAAGUUCACUAAAUUUAUGACCUGUUUAUCUGUUAAUUAAAACAAAACAAAGAAAAUCCAUAAUCAAUCUCUCUUCACAGUCUGACACAAAGCAAUUUUGAAUGACUUUGAGACACUGAAAAUAAACAGGUUUUACUGAAUAUACCUAGAGGCAGAAGAGAGAAGAAUCUCCAAUCAACCUGUUUCAUGUCAUAUAGAGCAAAGGUUGAGAAGCAGAAUGGUAGAUUCAGGAGUGAUAUGAAACUUCAAGAAUUCCGAAAGGCACCUAAAAAACUGACCUUCAAAAAUCAUAUUUACUUUGAUUGUCAGCUUACUGGCAGACUGUGUGGAAAUGUAUGGCGUCCUCUGGUAUUCCUAUAAUGGAUGAUGCAAACUAAUGAUGACAUUAUCUCAAAUUGUGAGAGAAGCGUGCAUAACCUUGUCUAUGUGUCCAGAAAUUAUUCCUCUGUGUCAGAAUUUCAUGUCAAAGGCUCAAAAGCAAACUGUAUAACUUAGUUCUCAGUGAAGGGAUUUCUAAGGUAAGCAUUGGUACUUUUAUUUUCUUACCUGAAAGUGAAUCAAGUCUUCAUCCUUCAGUAUACACUUAAAUUUACAAUUUGAAGCAUCAUGUAACAGAUCAAAUUUCAAAUCAAAGAACAGAAAAUCACAAAUUCUAAUGAAAAAAAUAUGGUCACAAAAAAAAAAAAGAAGCAUUUUAAAAGAAAUUUUUGUCCAAAUUUCCUAUACAGAGGAUUUUCUCAAAGGUCAGGCUACUGUCCUUUCCAGGUGUUUUAAAAUCCUUUAUUGUUGAAGAAGUUGUAGCAAAAGGCAGUUUCUAGUCAUACCAUCCACAACUGACUACAUGACUCUGCAGACACUAGAUUGUGAAGGGAAUGCAAUAUGAUACAAAAUCCAUGGAGAAUGUAAGUGCAGUAUUUGUAUCUUCAACUUUAGGUAGCUAGGGAUUCUUAAGUGAUCUCAUCGGUUAUUUUCAAAAUGCAUUUAUUUUGAAGAUAAGCCAGAAAUAUACUUGCUCUAGGAAUCAAAUUUGAUAGAACAAAAUUCUUCCAUCAUAGCUUGGAAGUCUUGUCAAUUUUCCCGUUACAGACUCUUUUCUGAAACAGAGCCUUCAAAAGAGAUGUUCCUUGUUAUUUACUAUGGAGACUUUAUCAGUAUUCUGAGAACAGUCAAACCUGGACUUUGGUUAUGUCUUGAAAAUCUAUCCAGAUUCUAAUAAUGUGUUUAGAAUUUAGAAUCUCUAUAGAUUCUAAAUUCUAUAUGUGUUUAGAAUUUAGAAUCUCUAUAGAAUCAAGUCUAAGGAGUAGUACAGUGAACAGAGUACAGAGAAAUAGAUUAGAACUAGCAAAGCAGAGAUGACUGUGAGAAAAGCAAAA